rnacentral:misc_RNA from 1 species
UCCCCGUUGCCGAGGCAGUAUGACUAGAAAAAGCAACUAGCCACGAGGGUUGCGCUCGUUUAAGGACUUAACCUAACAUCUCACGACACGAGCUGACGACGACCAUGCAUCACCUGUCACUGGUCCAACUAAAUGACUCUCUAAUUUCUUAGAGAUACGACCAGGAUGUCAAGUCUGGGUAAGGUUCUUCGCGUAGCCUCGAAUUAAACCACACGCUCCACCGCUUGUGCGGGUCCCCGUCAAUUCCUUUGAGUUUUAGCCUUGCGGCCGUACUCCCCAGGCGGGAUGCUUAACGCGUUAGCUUCGCUACUGAACGGGUCGAUACGUCCAACAGCUAGCAUCCAUCGUUUACGGCGUGGACUAC